ACUUAGGAAUCUACCUAGUAGUGGGGGAUAGCACGGGGAAACUCGUAUUAAUACCGCAUACGACCUACGGGAGAAAGGGGGCAGUUUACUGCUCUCGCUAUUAGAUGAGCCUAAGUCGGAUUAGCUAGAUGGUGGGGUAAAGGCCUACCAUGGCGACGAUCUGUAGCUGGUCUGAGAGGAUGAUCAGCCACACCGGGACUGAGACACGGCCCGGACUCCUACGGGAGGCAGCAGUGGGGAAUAUUGGACAAUGGGGGAAACCCUGAUCCAGCCAUGCCGCGUGUGUGAAGAAGGCCUUUUGGUUGUAAAGCACUUUAAGCAGUGAAGAAGACUCUUCGGUUAAUACCCGGAGACGAUGACAUUAGCUGCAGAAUAAGCACCGGCUAACUCUGUGCCAGCAGCCGCGGUAAUACAGAGGGUGCAAGCGUUAAUCGGAAUUACUGGGCGUAAAGGGAGCGUAGGUGGCUCUAUAAGUCAGAUGUGAAAUCCCCGGGCUUAACCUGGGAACUGCAUCUGAAACUGUAGAGCUAGAGUAUGUGAGAGGGAGGUAGAAUUUCAGGUGUAGCGGUGAAAUGCGUAGAGAUCUGAAGGAAUACCGAUGGCGAAGGCAGCCUCCUGGCAUAAUACUGACACUGAGGCUCGAAAGCGUGGGUAGCAAACAGGAUUAGAUACCCUGGUAGUCCACGCCGUAAACGAUGUCUACUAGUCGUUGGGUCCCUUGAGGACUUAGUGACGCAGCUAACGCAAUAAGUAGACCGCCUGGGGAGUACGGCCGCAAGGUUAAAACUCAAAUGAAUUGACGGGGGCCCGCACAAGCGGUGGAGCAUGUGGUUUAAUUCGAUGCAACGCGAAGAACCUUACCUGGUCUUGACAUAUCUAGAAUCCUGCAGAGAUGCGGGAGUGCCUUCGGGAAUUAGAAUACAGGUGCUGCAUGGCUGUCGUCAGCUCGUGUCGUGAGAUGUUGGGUUAAGUCCCGCAACGAGCGCAACCCUUGUCCUUAGUUACCAGCGGGUUAAGCCGGGAACUCUAAGGAUACUGCCAGUGACAAACUGGAGGAAGGCGGGGACGACGUCAAGUCAUCAUGGCCCUUACGACCAGGGCUACACACGUGCUACAAUGGUAGGUACAGAGGGCAGCUACACAGCGAUGUGAUGCGAAUCUCAAAAAGCCUAUCGUAGUCCAGAUUGGAGUCUGCAACUCGACUCCAUGAAGUAGGAAUCGCUAGUAAUCGCGGAUCAGAAUGCCGCGGUGAAUACGUUCCCGGGCCUG
rnacentral:rRNA from 1 species